rnacentral:lncRNA from 1 species
CUUUUGAACUAUGUUGUUUAUCUUAUACAAAAUACUUCACCACUUUUAAUAAUAUUUUUUUUUUUAUAUUACAGGAUCACAGAAAAUGGUGAGUUUAUGUUGCCAAGUUAACAGUGAUUGUGAAAAAUUUAAGUGCAUUGGUCUUACGCUUCCAACAUGCAUUACUCAUCGAUGUAGAUGUCGUUAUGUAAUGAAGCCCAUAGGAUAUGAAUGAAAGUAAUUCUAUUAGUAGUGAAAUGAAAUUGAUGGUAAAACAAACAAUAUGUUGAAGGACUUUGUGUAAUGAGGCAGCUAUAAAUAAUUGUAAUAAUUUGGAUUAGUCGGUCCUAAGAUCGGAUAUCAUGUUUUUAAAAAAAAAAUAAAUAAAUAAUUGUAAUAAUUUGGAUUAGUCGGUUCUAAGACCGGAUACCAUGUUUUCAAAAAAAUAAUAAAUAAAUAAUUGUAAUAAGGAUCUUUGUUAGUCAUGCAUGAAUUGGGAAGUUUAAAUAAUAUUAUUGAAGUCUCAUCAAUCAUUUUGGUCUCUCAUAAUUUUUUCACAGCAC